rnacentral:rRNA from 1 species
CUAACGGGACUGCCCGCGAAAGCGGGAGGAAGGAGGGGGACGACGUCUGGUCAGCAUGGCCCUUACGGGCCUGGGGCGACACACGUGCUACAAUGCCCACUACAAAGCGAUGCCACCCGGCAACGGGGAGCUAAUCGCAAAAAGGUGGGCCCAGUUCGGAUUGGGGUCUGCAACCCGACCCCAUGAAGCCGGAAUCGCUAGUAAUCGCGGAUCAGCCAUGCCGCGGUGAAUACGUUCCCGGGCCUU